GACAGAGGUCCCGAGCGUUGUCCGGAAUCAUUGGGCGUAAAGCGCGCGUAGGCGGCCUGAUAAGUCCGCUGUAAAAGUCAACGGCUCAACUGUUGAAAGCCGGUGGAUACUGUCGGGCUAGAGUACGGAAGAGGCAAGUGGAAUUCCUGGUGUAGCGGUGGAAUGCGCAGAUAUCAGGAGGAACACCUAUAGCGAAGGCAGCUUGCUGGGCUAUUACUAACACUCAGAGACGAAAGCUAGGGUAGCAAAUGGG
rnacentral:rRNA from 1 species